GAUUAGAAGCAACCUCUGCCGGACGAUUGUUGAGGAGAUGGAAAUGUGAAAGGUGAUACCAGGUCUGUUGAUAGGUGAUACCAGCCCAAACGUUUAGGCUUCAUCCCUUUUUGUUAUUCGGUAUGGUACUCAUUUACAAUCCCACUUUCAAUGAGGUUGUCUUAGUCAUGUAUUUGAUUUUUUCCCUUUUCUUUACAAUUAAAGUUGUGGAGAGACGAAUUAAGAUGGGGAGCGGAAGACAAUCUCAGAUGAGUAUAGGAAUUUUAGUGCAUGAUUGAGAUCAUUUGGACCCGUGUACUGUAAGUCAUUGAAUGUUUUAAUCUUACAGUCAGUUUUACAUUGUUUUUUAUGAAGGUGCUGUUGUCAUGGACAUCAAAGUGAUUACACAACACCAAGAUCACCCGUCAUCUCAAUUUGAGCAAUUAAACGGAGUUUUCUUAAUCAGCACCGUGUACUUUUUGCUAUUAGUUCCACGUGUUUUUUCCAUAUUAAUUGUUUUGAUGAAAAGGGAAAUCGCUAGAGAUGUUUGAUCCAAGAACCGAAUAAAACAUAGUGGAUAUUGCUGAAGGAGAUAAACAUGAUGUUGAUCUGGCUGUUGAAGCUGCACGUUGAUCCACAAUAAGCACUGCCCAGCUAAGUUUCCUACAAUGACAGUGGUUAUAACAAGUUAAUAAGGCAAAACAUUGAUCCGCCUAACAACUGUUGGAUAUGACGAUGGUUGUACACAAAGUCUGAUCAACAUCAUCCACUGUUCAAUUACCAAACCACUGAUGAAGACCAAAGUCCUGUUGAAGACAAGCACCAAUGAACCAAAGGCCUGAUCAACCAAAGGUGAAACACUGUCCAACAACAACAGUGGUUCAGCAUCAACAUUAGUUAUUCUAUCUUUGUUUAUGUUAACAGUGUUUAUAUGUAACAGUGUUUUUC